UCCUCUUUACAGAGGCAGUUUCGUUCGAGUCCCCGGCAUUAUCCGCUGGUAACAAACGAUGAGGGUUGCGCUCGUUGCGGGACUUAACCCAACAUUUCACAACACGAGCUGACGACAGCCAUGCACCACCUGUGUAUCACCCUCGAAGGAGCUCCUUUUGGGGAGUUUGCAGAUACAUGUCAAGCCCUGGUAAGGUUCUUCGCGUUGCAUCGAAUUAAGCCACAUGCUCCACCGCUUGUGCGGUCCCCCGCCAAUUCCUUUGAGUUUCAACCUUGCGGCCGUAGUCCCCAGGCGGUUCACUUAAUGCGUUAGCUGCGGCACCGAGGGUUACCCCCCAACACCUAGUGAACAUCGUUUAAGGCCAAGACUAC
rnacentral:misc_RNA from 1 species